CCUCCCAUAGCUACGCCCCGAGGGGGGCGCCCACCUGCCGGCGGGCCGGCCUCCGUGACAGCCUUGCUCAAGCCCGGCCCCCCUGGCCAGCCGGGCCCUAAUGGUCGCCCGGGUCCCCGUCGUCCAAGUGGGUUGGGACCGGAGAAAUCGGCUUUUCCCCGCCGCCCCAGCCGUACGUCAGAAGCGGAGCUGUGCCGCGGGGAGGGCUGGCUCAGGGCGGCGUUGGCAAAGAGGGGUCGCUCCCUGAAAGUACCUGUUAAAGGCUUGUCCUCUGUGCGGAGGGUGAACCCGCAAGGCUCUGUUAAUUAUAUUUUCAUUUUGGUAGGGUGGCCCUGGUUUAUUUGUGUGUUGGAUUUUCAAAUUCUACUUUGCUUUUGAUUUUCAAAAGUUUUUGUCGAAGUAGUAUUGGUGUGACUCUCGGAUAUUUACGAUACCAAAAAAGAAAGGAAGAAAAUUUGAUAUAAAUAGACACAUUUUGUUGUUUGCUUUUUUAGGGUGGGGAAGUGGAAUUUAGUUUAAGUUUGAUUUAGAAACUCUACUGCAGUUUUCCCAAGCCAGAUCCUGAGCCAGGGUGCUCCCAGCAAUGACAACCAUAACCUUGGUAUAACUGAGCCAAAAAGAGAAGUGUUUUCCCCUUAGUCAAAGUGAAUGACAUACAUGAAGCUUGUAUGCUGGGGAGCAGAUAGACAAGAAACCAGGGAUGGUCAAAGAAGGAAGCUUUUGGAGAGAAGAGGCAUCACCUGGGUCUAUUGGAAGAGAAAACUUUGUGCAAUGUUGUCCCAUUAAAGAGAUUGAACCAGGCAGAGAUCACCCAGAACAGAUUUCAGAUUACCUUUUCAGACUUGGUUUGGGUUGUUUUAUUUAGGAUGGUUUAUAAAUAAUACAAGCUUCUACAUUUGAAAUACAUAUGGAUGUAUCUCACCACCGCUGUCUUCACAAGCAUGGUUUAUUUUAUACACAGAUGAAAUGGAAGAUAUAUAAAGGAAAAAAAAACCCACAAAAAAGAGAGGUGGUUUGUGUUUGUCUAAAUGCAGGGUUAAUGUUGAAACACAUUUUGUUUCUUUCUCACUGACACUUGGAACUGGCCCAAACUCCUCGAUCCUUGGCAAAGCAGACACUGUUCUACAGAUAAAAACCUAAUUAAACUGAGUGCUACCUGUGGCAAGGACGUUUAGAAAUUCAUAGAGUUCAAGCAACCAAAA